UUGACCUCGGAUCAGGUAGGACUACCCGCUGAACUUAAGCAUAUCAAUAAGCGGAGGAAAAGAAACCAACAGGGAUUGCCCCAGUAACGGCGAGUGAAGCGGCAACAGCUCAGAUUUGGAAUCUGGCCCCCAGGGCCCGAGUUGUAAUCUGGAGAGGAUGCUUCUGGCGCGGCGCCUUCCGAGUUCCCUGGAACGGGACGCCGGAGAGGGUGAGAGCCCCGUACGGUUGGACGCCUAGCCUUUGUGAAGCUCCUUCGACGAGUCGAGUAGUUUGGGAAUGCUGCUCAAAAUGGGAGGUAAAUUUCUUCUAAAGCUAAAUACCGGCCAGAGACCGAUAGCGCACAAGUAGAGUGAUCGAAAGAUGAAAAGCACUUUGAAAAGAGGGUCAAACAGUACGUGAAAUUGUUGAAAGGGAAGCGCCCGUGGCCAGACUUGUGCCCCGCGGACCACCCGGCGCCCUCAGCGCCGGUGCACUCCGCGGGGCGCAGGCCAGCAUCGGUUUUCCUAGGGGGAUAAAGGCGGCGGGAACGUGGCUCCCUCGGGAGUGUUAUAGCCCGCCGCGCCAUGCCCCUGGGGGGACCGAGGACCGCGCUUCGGC
rnacentral:rRNA from 1 species